UUUGUUUGUAAUUAAGUAAGCUCCAUGCCCAACGUGGGGCUUGAACUCGCGACCCUGAGAUCAAGAGUCACAUGCUCUACCAACUGAGCCAGC
ensembl:snoRNA SNORD33 Small nucleolar RNA Z195/SNORD33/SNORD32 family